rnacentral:tRNA from 1 species
GUGGCCAUGGUGUAACAGCAGCAUUAUGCCCUGUGACGGCAUCGGCGCCGGUGCAAAUCCGGUUGGUCACCCCA